CCUAGUUAAUUCUACCAGUAAUUAUAUACUUAUCUUAAAAAUUAAGCCAUACAUAUCUAAAUAUAAGCAAUUAUACAGCAAAACUGCAAAUAGCUUAUUAUAUAAGUUAUUAUUUAUUUAAUAAUACCUUACUACUUAGAUAACUAUAAUAAUUCUAAAGCUAAUACAUACUAAAAAUCCCAACUUCAGAAGGAAUAUAUUUAUUAGAUUAAAAACCAAUACUCUUUAGAACUUACUAGUAAUUUAUAAUAACUUCUCGAAUUAUAUAACCUUAUACUAACGAUAGUUUAUUCAAAUUUCUUCCCUAUCAACUUUCAAUACUAGAGUAGUAUUCUAGUAUAGUUACAAUAGGUAAUAGAGGGUUAGAGCUCAACUCCAGAGAAGAAGCCUAAGAAACAGCUACUAUAUCCAAAGAAGGCAGCAGGCACACAAAUUACCCAAUCCCAACAUAGGGAAGUAAUAAUAAUAAAUACUAAUAUAGAGCUCUUUUAGAUCUUAUAAUUAGAAUAAAUAUAAUUUAAAUCCCUUAAUAAGGAACAAUUAGAGGGUAAAUCUAAUACUAGCAGCCAUAGUAAUUCCAGCUCCAAUAGCAUAUAUUAAAGUUAUUAUAGUUAAAAAGCUUAUAGUAGAACCUUAGGCCUAGCUAGCUGGUCCACCUUACUAUAUACACUAGUCCAGCUAAGCCUUUCCCUCUGUGGAACCGCAUACCCUUCACUGGGUGUACCGGGGAAACAGAACUUUUACUUUAAAAAAAUUAGAAUACUCCAGGCAGACCUAUACUCAAAUACAUUAGCAUAGAAUAAUAGAAUAAGAUAUAUAGUUCUAUUUUAUUAGUUUCUAGAACCACUAUAAUAAUUAAUAAGGAUAGUCAGAAGCAUUAAUAUUUAAUUAUCAGAAGUGAAAUUCUUAAAUUUAUUAAAAACUAACUACUAUAAAAGUAUUUACUAAAGAUAUUUUUAUUUAUCAGAAAUGAAAGUUAGGAGAUUAAAGAUAAUCAGAUACUAUUAUAGUCUUAACCAUAAACUAUACCAACUAGGGAUCGGACGAUAUUAUUUUUUAACUUAUUCAGCACCUUACGAGAAAUCAAAAUACUUAGGCUCCAGAGGGAGUAUAGUCGCAAAGCUGAAACUUAAAGAAAUUAACAGAAGAAUACCACUAGAGGUAAAUAGUAGCUAUUCAAACUCUACUCCAGAUAGCAAGCCUGUAAAAAGUCUAGUAGCCAGCCCCAAAUUGCUAGUCACCCUAAUAGUAGUAAUAUCCCCCAAUUAUGGGAAACCCUCAGAGAGUAACACUCCCAAGCAGCACUCAAAAGAGAUACUAUAGCAGCAGCAUAACGGCCGCCAGUACAGAGACAACAUACCACUCAUAAGGUAACUUAUAGCUAAGCUCCUAACUAUAGAGAAAAUUCAGAAACUCAACAGAGAUAAGUAACGCCCCCAGACGCCACCUAAAAUAGAGUCUAUACCCACUCGAGAGAGUGGAGACUAACUAAUAUAUUACCUAAAAAAGAAGCCUACAGUUUAAUUUAACUUAAUAUAGAGAAACUUACUAGAUCUAGACAUAAUAAAAAUUAAUAAAUUAAAAGUUUUUUCUUAAUUUUAUAAGUAAUAAUAUAUAGCUAUUCUUAGUUAGUAGAGUAAUUUAUCUACUUAAUUAUAAUAAUAAACAAGAUCUUAACCUACUAAAUAACCUAUAUUACUUUAGCAGUAUACUAGCUUCUUAGAGGGACUAUCAGCUCAAGCCAAUAGAAGUUUGAGGUAAUAAUAAGUUAACUUUUAUAAACUUAUAACAG
rnacentral:rRNA from 1 species